ACAAUUUCAAUAGUGGUCAAUUUGAAACGAUACAGAGAAGAUUAGCAUGGCCCCUGCACUAAGGAUGACACGCUCAAUCAAAGAGAAGCUACCAAUUUUU
rnacentral:snRNA from 19 species